CUCCGGACCGGACCAUCUCUCAGACAAAUCUAUUUCUCACUGUUUGUCCCAAAUGGCACCUUAUUCCUUGUAUAGUGCACUACUUUUGACCAAAGCCCACAGGGAUCUGAUCAAAAUCAGUGCACUAUGAAGGGAGUAGGGUGCCAUUUCAUGCGCAUCCGUUUCCUCCUUCCCCAGUGGGGUUAUGAUGCGUAAUGGCUGACGAGGGCUUCCUCUUACCUUUUCACAAUCAGUCCCAACCAUCAGUCCCCAACCACUUUAGCUGUCAGUUGCCUGUUACAGCCCCAUAUUGAUUGAUAAGAAAGAAACCACUUCUGGCCACAAAUCCAUUCACAGCAUGGAUCGCUCCCACCAGGCUGUCAUCACCACUGAUUCCUGGCAAUCUAUGUGUGUGUUCGUUCUUGUGGGUGUGUGCGCCCAUGUGCAUGUGUGCUCCCUCUAACCUGAGCCUACAUCGAUUUCUAUCUACACAAUUGUCAAUCGCAUCAAUAGGCCCAGGCUUUGAAAACCAUUCCGUUUGUAAAAACACCCGUUCACAGUUCAAUAGAUGAAGUGAACUGGUUAUCAUACCAAAUAUCCUCGUUGUCUGUUUUUGAGUGACAGCAGCCCAGAGACAGCAUGUGGUGAGGCAACCAUCACUUAACAAAAGCCUCCAGUCUGCAGCCUACAGAGACACGGGUCAAUUCCCUUUGGUAUACAGAUCAAUACUGUGUGUGCUUUCCAAAUAGCACCCUGUUCCCUAUAUAGUGUGAGACCAGCGUUGAGGAAGGCGGUCUUGAUCGCGCUUUUGGGCCGGGACCAGCCCCGCCGAAAGCGCAGGUCCGUGUGGGUCCAGAGAUGGUUAAAGUCCCGAAAGCAGGCAGGGGAGUUCCACCUUCUCAUUCAAGAGCUUCGACUGUUUGGAGAGGAACUCCGAAGUUACUUUCGUCUGGACCGAAGCCAGUUCGAUCACCUGGUUGGAGCCAGGAUCACCCAGAUGGAUACCAACUACCGUGAGUCCAUCAGCCCGGUUGGCGAUUUGCAAUUCUACAACGACAAGGGUACAGCCCGGUGGAGAAUGUAUCAGAGAGUGCUUGGUCUCAGCCCCUCAAAUGUCGAUGCCUGGGUGAAGGCCACGUGUGUUCUCCACAACUACCUGCGGAGGUCAUUAGUAUGAUAACAAAGGGAAAGGGUAACCUAGGGUCCAUACAAAUAGUACAGUUUACCACCAUGUUCACUGGCCUGACAAAAUACAGGUGGGAAAAAAACUAAUUAGGAAGAGAAUGUGUUUUUACUUUCAUCUUGUCUUAGAUCUGCAAAGGUGUUGGGAAGAAAUAAGCAGAUUAAGUCUAAAUUAUAUAUUAAUAAACUUCUGAAACAACUGACUGAAAACAUAUUUUAAUAAGUAUUCAAGUACAGGAAAGAACAUGACAGGCAUGUGUGUUGUAAAAAUGUUUUAAAAAUGAAACUAUUUGAAAGAGGUGUGUGUGUGUGUGUGUGUGAAAAAUAAAUGUGUAGCCUGUAAUCUGUAAGAGAACAACAAGAGCAUGUAUCUUUGGCACAACUGCAGACAGAUACAGGGACUACUCAUAAAGCCUAGACGUAGUCGGGGAACUUCAGACAUGGCCAUAAAGAGCGAGAGGACAGGGCACUGGAGAUCUGAGGUACCAGAGAGGAGUAGAGGAGAGGUAUGUGUGUCUGUCUCUGAAAAAAAGGGAAUAAUAUGUAGCCAUAACACAGCUAAACAAACAAAUGGCCCCUGGACGUCAUGGACCGGUUGAUGGAACACAACUUCACUAAAAGUUUCAACACCCUGGUUUUCAAGUGGUUUUAAAUGAAAUAAAUAUAUUCACCUUCAGUCUCGUAAGAGACCAGCAAGAGCAUCUGUGAAUUCUCCGGUAUAUGAGUUUCAAUUCUGUCAAUUCAGAAAUCUACGGAACACUAAUAAUGAAUGCUAUCCUAAGACUUUAGAAACAAAUGACUUUAUGAAUUGACUGAAUUUAAACGGAACUGACGUGUGUGAAAAGAAAGGUACACUGAGGGAGGUCAAAACAACAACCAGACAACUCCUCUUCCUGUCCUUCUUGUGAGCUGGUCGGCCCCGGCAACUCCUCUCCUCUUCCUGUGAGCUGGUCGGCCCCGGCAACUCCUCUCCUCUUCCUGUCCUUCCUGUGAGCUGGUCGGCUAAAUUGACUCCAUCUCUGGAAGGGAAGAGAAAAACAACACAUACAAGCUUAACGUAAUAUGACACCAUAAAAGGGACUCCUGAAACAACCUGCAGACCAGGCUGUCGUCUUGUGAAACUGUGGAUCUAAAGAAUCUAGCUAGCUACAACGUUAACUGCAAAUUAAAUGUACAAUUUUGUAUGCUUGCCUUGCUGAUAUUUGCCAUGCAAUGCUGAUAGAUGAAUAGCGUAGCCUAGCUAUGUUCUUGCUUAUAGUGCAGUGGAGGAUACAACAUACCUGUAUGCCUAUGGAUGUGUAGAAAGCUAUCUAUAUACAUGUAGUUAUACAUGUAGUUAUUACCAUGCAUGAUAUCCCCACACUCUAGCCUGCACAUUUAAUAUAUUCACUGAUCACGUACUCUCAGUUUAGGUAUGAAUGUCUUUGAGGUAAUUUUUCAGUCAUAUCCAAUACCAGGAGUAUCGAAUUAUUUGUCUUUGAAUGAUGCUGUGUCUGCAUGUAUGUAUUACAAUUACACAUUUCAAAAGUGUUUACCAAUCUUUGUCCUGGGACAUCAAUGGUUACACUGUAACUUUUUUUAUUUCACCUUUAUUUAACCAGGUAGGCAAGUUGAGAACAAGUUCUCAUUUACAAUUGCGAACUAAUAGACUACAAACAGGAUUUAACUAGUUAAAGGCUAAUUUGUCAUUCAUAGAUACAGAAAUUAAACAUUUAAAAACAGUACACUACA